rnacentral:lncRNA from 1 species
AAUUGAUCUAUAAAAUGGCUCUCACACUCAUGAUGACAAAUACUGAAAUUUUGAAUUAGCUCUUGAGCUCAAUUUUCUUUUCCAUGAGUAUUUUAUAGUGAGAUCAACUUUCAGAGGAGAAGGUGCACAAAGACUCUUAGAGUUCUUGAAUUGCAAGCAACAGAAACCAAGUCUGGCAAACCCAAGGAAAAUGAAUUCACUGGAGAGACAUGGAAGCCACAUCGUGAAAUGGAAAACCCCAGAAAGAGCUGGAGAAGGGACAAGAAUGAGAGCUGCUUGGAGCUGCAGCAAAGACAGAAAGAGACAAAGCAUGCCAAGUCCACGGUGUUGUGAAAGCACUCAAUAAAGAUUCAUUCUUCCCCCUUCUGUCUCAAGCUCCCUUUCACCAAAUUCUUCAUCCAUUCCAACACAUACUGUGCGCCUACUCUGUGCAAAGCACAUUGAGCAGUAUGAAGAAUGUAAAAAUGAAUAACUCAGUCCCUGCCAAAAAGUCAGCCAUGCCCUCACCCAGGGUAUUAUUUUAUGUUGUUGAGAAAUACCCAAAUGAAUCAUUCAUCUCUGAAAU